GAUGAAGAACGCAGCUAAAUGCGAUAAGUAGUGUGAAUUGCAGAAUUCAGUGAAUCAUCGAAUCUUUGAACGCACAUUGCGCCCUUUGGUAUUCCUUAGGGCAUGCCUGUUCGAGCGUCAUUUAAACCCUUCAAGCUCAGCUUGGUGUUGGGUGACUGUCCGCCGCCCCCGGGCGCGGACUCGCCCCAAAUUCAUUGGCGGCCGGUACGUAGGCUUCGAGCGCAGCAGAAACGCGAACUCGGGCCCGCGGUGUCGGCUCCCAGAAGCCAUCUCUUUUAUUUUGACCUCGGAUCAGGUAGGGAUACCCGCUGAACUUAAGCAUAUCAAUAAGCGGAGGA
rnacentral:misc_RNA from 1 species